GAGUUUGAUCCUGGCUCAGAGCGAACGCUGGCGGCAGGCCUAAAACAUGCAAGUCGAACGCACCUUCGGGUGAGUGGCGGACGGGUGAGUAACGCGUGGGAACGUGCCCUUUGGUUCGGAACAACUCAGGGAAACUUGAGCUAAUACCGGAUGUGCCCUUCGGGGGAAAGAUUUAUCGCCAUUGGAGCGGCCCGCGUUGGAUUAGGUAGUUGGUGGGGUAAAGGCCCACCAAGCCUACGAUCCAUAGCUGGUCUGAGAGGAUGAUCAGCCACAUUGGGACUGAGACACGGCCCAAACUCCUACGGGAGGCAGCAGUUAGGAAUCUUGGGCAAUGGGCGAAAGCCUGACCCAGCCAUGCCGCGUGAAUGAUGAAGGACCUAGGAUUGUAAAAUUCUUUCACCGGGGAAGAUAAUGACGGUACCCGGAGAAGAAGCUCCGGCUAACUUCGUGCCAGCCGCCGCAGUAAU
rnacentral:rRNA from 1 species